UACGUAGGUGGCAAGCGUUUGUCCGGAAUUAUUGGGCGUAAAGCGCGCGCAGGUGGUUUCUUAAGUCUGAUGUGAAAGCCCACGGCUCAACCGUGGAGGGUCAUUGGAAACUGGAGGACUUGAGUACAGAAGAGGAAAGCGGAAUUCCACGUGUAGCGGUGAAAUGCGUAGAGAUGUGGAGGAACACCAGUGGCGAAGGCGGCUUUCUGGUCUGUAACUGACGCUGAGGCGCGAAAGCGUGGGGAGCAAACAGG
rnacentral:rRNA from 1 species